GGAGGGUGGCGAGCAUUGGUGCUCAAGCAGUCUCGAAAACUGUGCUAACCGCAAGGUUAAGGGUUCGAUUCCUUCACCCUCCGCCA
rnacentral:tRNA from 1 species